rnacentral:rRNA from 1 species
GACGAACGCUGGCGGCGUGUUUAACACAUGCAAGUCGAACGGAAAGGCCCUGCUUUUGUGGGGUGCUCGAGUGGCGAACGGGUGAGUAACACGUGAGUAACCUGCCCUUGACUUUGGGAUAACUUCAGGAAACUGGGGCUAAUACCGGAUAGGAGCUCCUGCUGCAUGGUGGGGGUUGGAAAGUUUCGGCGGUUGGGGAUGGACUCGCGGCUUAUCAGCUUGUUGGUGGGGUAGUGGCUUACCAAGGCUUUGACGGGUAGCCGGCCUGAGAGGGUGACCGGCCACAUUGGGACUGAGAUACGGCCCAGACUCCUACGCGAGGCAGCAGUGGGGAAUAUUGCACAAUGGGCGGAAGCCUGAUGCAGCAACGCCGCGUGCGAGAUGACGGCCUUCGGGUUGUAAACCGCUUUCGCCUGUGACGAAGCGUGAGUGACGGUAAUGAGUAAAGAAGCACCGGCUAACUACGUG